UACAGAGGUCUCAAGCGUUGUUCGGAUUCAUUGGGCGUAAAGCGCUCGCAGGCGGCCCGAUGCGUCGUGCGUGAAAGACCCCGGCUCAACUGGGGGGCGUCGUGCGAUACGGUCGGGCUUGAGGCCAGUAGGGGGACGCGGAAUUCCGGGUGUAGUGGUGGAAUGCGUAGAGAUCCGGAGGAACACCAGCGGCGAAGGCGGCGUCCUGGACUGGUACUGACGCUCAGGAGCGAAAGCGUGGGGAGCGAUCCGG
rnacentral:rRNA from 1 species